rnacentral:rRNA from 1 species
UGGGGAAUCUUCCGCAAUGGGCGCAAGCCUGACGGAGCAAGACCGCGUGAGGGAGGAAGGCUCUUGGGUUGUAAACCUCUUUUAUCAGGGAAGAAAAAAAUGACGGUACCUGAUGAAUCAGCAUCGGCUAACUCCGUGCCAGCAGCCGCGGUAAUACGGAGGAUGCAAGCGUUAUCCGGAAUUAUUGGGCGUAAAGCGUCCGCAGGUGGCUAUUCAAGUCUGUUGUUAAAGCACGGGGCUUAACCCCGGAAAGGCAAUGGAAACUGAAAAGCUAGAGUGCAGUAGGGGUAAAGGGAAUUCCCGGUGUAGCGGUGAAAUGCGUAGAGAUCGGGAAGAACAUCGGUGGCGAAAGCGCUUUACUGGACUGCAACUGACACUCAGGGACGAAAGCUAGGGGAGCGAAUGGGAUUAGAUACCCCAGUAGUC